rnacentral:lncRNA from 1 species
UUGCCAAUGACAUCCAUCAAGUUGCUCAUCAGAUCACCACUCUCACCCUACUUCAACCCUCCCGCAUUUCAAAUCUUUUAUAAAAUCCUGGGCAACCCAAAUUUUUUUUUUUUGGAUUUUUUGACAUCUUCAACUGUAAUUGAUGAUCAGUCGGAGCAAUAAAGGAGCAAGUCAUGGGGCACCAAUGUCUCCGGCCAAUCGGUGUCGACUAGCGGCAGCGUGGGCUCUCCUACAACCGGGAGUGAGGCGAUUGGCAACACUCCCCCAGUGAUAAGACUUCUAUUACACUUGAUCAUGUAGAUGCUCAUGCUGGUGAUGUUGCAUCUCAAGCUACUUAUAUGUGAGUGCUUAAUUUGCUGUGUUUUUUGAGGAUUUUAUUGCAGGGAAUCGAGUGUGAUUGAUUUGCUUUUACAAUUGAGACCGGAUUCUAUGGUGAUUUGAUUAUAUAUUUUGAUUUUGGAGCAAUUUUCUGAUCAUUGGAUGGUAAUUAUUGAAUUUAGAAAAGUGAUUUUUUUUUUGUGUUUGUUUUUGUGUUUGGACUAAUUACUACCGUUUGAGCAUGAAUUCUGCUAACUGUGUGUAUUAAGUGUUUUACUAUAUUCUUAGUUUUGUUGUGAUGAGACAGUGAAAAAAAAGGGGUCAACAAGCAGUCAGAGGGGAUAAGAAUUGCAGGGGACUCCGCCAAUCUAACAUGAAAGGUUUGUGCCUUUGUCAUUCUAUGUUGUUGCGAUAGUAAUCUUCUGCGCAUGCUGUUUGAUGUAUAGUUGAUGUUUAACCAAGAGUGCUUGUACUGAUCAAUGGGUGCAUAGUGAACUGGUCUAUGUCAUAACAAUGUUAUAUUUUGGGCUCUAUAGUUCAAGUUGCCUAUUAGAAAAAUUGUUAAGUCUCUGCUCAAAAAUGAAAUCUGAUUAUAUUGUCAUGUGAUUAUGGUUCUUUAGCUAAAAUGGUUGGUUGUUUGGCGUCCACUCACAUCCAUUCCUCCGAUCCUGUCGGUGCCAAUUUUUCCAAGGUCAAACCCUUAUUCUUUUUUACUGAUUGUUUUGGUCAAUUUUGUUUAUUAUUUUUAGGGUUUUGAUUAUUUUUUGUGUUUGCUUUGUAAUUUGAUUUGGGUUGUGUGAAAAUUAGCUUUCUUGAUCUUGAUACUUGAGGGUUUUGUUUAAUAUGAUCAAAUUGAUUGAAGUGCUUUGUGAUAGGUUGAAUUUUUGGCCGAUAGGAGAUUAGGAAUUUGAUAUAGUUUUUGUUAACUUUCGUGUAUUGAUUUGAUUGUUAGGAGCUCUCAGCGAAUUAGGUAAUUUCAAAUUAAUAACAAGAUUCAAUCUGACACUCUAAUUUAAUAUAAUAAAUUAACUAAUUAGAUAAAUUUGGAUAAAAUUAAUGGAUGAUCUCGGAUAGUUUUGCUGCUGAGAUAAAGUUGUCUGACAAGUUUUUUUUCCCACCAAAAUCAUCAUUCUCGCAUAUUGAAAUUGUAUCUUUCGUUUUGCUUGGUUCCGCCUUCGAAUAUGGUUCACAAGUUUAUAAAUUAUGCAAUUUCGCGUCAAGUUCAAGACUUAAAUGUGCAUAUUCCAGAAUUUGUUAUGGAUUUAUCCACCUUUAGUUCUACUUCCAUGAAGAAACUUAAGAUGAGUCUUGAUUUUUGUAAGGUGUUUAGAUUCUCGGAUUGUUGGGAUUUGCCUGCUUUAACAACUCUACGCUUGAUACUCCCUUCAUUAAGCCUUGGCGGAAUAAGUAUUCCUGGAUUAUAGUUGAUCUGUUUGCCUUCUUUACAGACUCUGGUUCUCGAUUGUAUUGAGUUACCAAAUUCUCUUGAUUGCUUGCUUCAGUAACUCUCUAUCUCGCAAGGUGCAAGUCCUUAAUAUUAGCUGUAUUGGUUUAUUCCCAAUCACAUUUAGACUAUCUCAGUUAGAGUAUGUGAAUAUGAAAUUAAGGGAUAGCACUGAUGGAAGAAAGCCUAUUCCAGGAUCUAAGUUGAUGAAGAUAUAUUAUCGCGGAUUUACUUAUGUCUCAGGUUUAGGGUAGUGCAAAGAUUCUUACUCUCAACUUGGAGACUAUUGAGGUAUAGUUCUGCUUGAUUCUUUUUUGCUAUAGUAAUUAAGAUAUUACAACUUUAUUAUCUUUUCUUCAAUUGAAGAUAAUUUUAUUAAAAUUGAUUGUCAUGCCUACUGCUUUUUGUCAAUCAUUGGUCAUUCAUUGGAGAAUGUUAUUAUUGAUUGAUAAUAGUUCAAACUUUUGGAUGACAAUGCUAUAAUUUGAUCAAUUUUGUUUAGUUAUUUCCUAGGCUUUAUCUUCUAUUUCAGAUUCUCUCGUAAAUUCUCCUCCUCAUUCUAUAACUUAAAGUAUGUGAAGGUGCCACAAGGAUGUAAAGAAACAAAUUUUGUCAACUGACCUCAAAUGCUACUUGCUUGGUCGCUCUCCAAAGCUACUAUUGUCACUAAAUUUCCUCAGGUACUAAUGAAUCGUAUCGACUUUUGAUUAAUCGUUUCAUUCCCUUUCUUGUUUUGUAAGCAUAUGAGGAUGACGUGGCAUCUCUCAAGGGCCUCCAUCUAUGUUUUCUAUUUUUCUAGCAUCUUUGUGCUUUGGUAUUUUUAUUUUGAUUAAAACUAAUUAAUUCUUUAUCUUUUCAGCUUAUUAAUUGUUAUGAAUUACAGUUACAGACUUUUUAUUUUCCUCUUCACUUCACUUCUUGCUUUCCAUGUGACAGUAUAUAUAGAUGUUUAUGCAUUGAAUUGCUAAUUGGUUGUGAUUGACUUGAUGAGUAAUUUGGUUGGGAAAGGCAUUAAGAAAGCAACUGGCUAACAAGAUCGGUGUCUGUUUGUAUAGUGUGAUUUUGCUGUAUGUUUGAUAUUGAACUUCUAUGAUGAUAUGUGUCGGUUAUUACAGGCAGCUAGGAAGUCUGCACCAACCACUGGAGAAUGAAGAUGCCCCACAGAUACCAUCCUGGAACUCUUGCCCUGCGGUGUAUAUUUGUUUAUAACUUCAUAUGCAUCCAUCAAAAAUAGUGGAAUAAACCUUUCGGAGGUUUACUUAUGUUUUACACGUUUCUGCCUAGACAUCUAUAAAUAUUGAAAUACUGUGCCCUGUCAUGUAUAUAUGUGAUAUAAAGAAGGAUCAUCCCCGCUCGUGAAUUGUGAUGAUUCUGUAAGUGUGGCCUCCCCCGUCGAGUUCUACGUGGCGGUAUGAUUUUUUAAGGAGUCAGUGGGAGCCUGGGAGGUUUUGUCGCCAAUGUUGUGGCCUCGUGGGGGUUUUGCUUAAAAGAAUUACACUUAUUUCUGUAAUUAGUAUUAGUCAUAUCUCUUCUGAAAUAAUCUUAAUGUAAACAAGAGGUUUUUUGUUUGAGGUGUUUUGGACAUUCUUUCUUUUGUUAGAUAAAAAACUGCUUAUGGCUUCUGCAAACUUUGCAUUUACAUUUUUAUUUCAGCAGAGCAUCAAUAUUCUCUUAUGAAUCAUGUAAUUUACACGGUCAUGCAUUUGAAACUAUUUCAUUCAUUUGAAACUAUUUUAUUCUUCUUCCUAAUUGAACACACACAUGCCCCUUUCACCUUCGACAGGACUACAACCCUGGCUGAAGGUAAUAGUAGUGCUAAAGGAUAAAGUAAAAGUACAGGAUAAGUUUAGUGACAAAUCAUCCUGUUUCUGUUGACUGAUCCGAGAGUGAGAUGGAUCCUGGCCUUCUGAUGAAGAAAGUGAGGGCUCCUGAUCUGCUGUUUCAUCAUGAGACCCCCUCCUGCUGCAACACAAAUGAACUGGGUCUGCUUCAGAAAGAAACCUCACCCCAGUAUAUCAGUGUUAGAAAUUUUGUUAUUCAUCAAGUUUAACUCAUUGUAAAAAUCAUGAAAAUACAAAUGAAAUCUAAUAUAUUUACUUUUCUGUUAUUAUUUCAUUUGAAAACACACAAUUAUAUUCUUUCCUUCAAGUCGGAUGAGAACUUUUCUUAGAAUAAAUUAUCAAGUUGGAAUGAAUUUGAUGGAUAUAUGUUCGAUGAUGUUUUUUACAUAUUUUUAUAUUUAAUUAAAAUUAUUAAUUAUCAAUCAAAGUUGUAUUAUUAGUGAUCACGUGACAUCUCUUAAAACUCUCCAUCUGUAAGAAUGAGACUGAAUGAGACUGCAGUACACAUAAGGUUAGAGUUUCAGAAGAAGCUAUAUUAUUUUAUAUUUUAUAUUUCAACAAGAAAUACAAAACAAAAGAUCCAUAAAUUAUAGAUCAUGAAGAUCUUUUAAAAUAUUUUAUAUUCUAAUUUUUUUCACUCGCGCGGAGCGCGUUUAUUUCACUAGUGAUACGAUAAAGGAUGACAUUUUAGAAGUUUUCCAAAUAUGAAUGCUAGAAAUGGUCUACAACUGAGAUAAAAAUGACACCGGCUUACAUGUAUUGCAAAAGAAAUAGAGAAAUAUAUAGUGUUUUGAUUUAAUGAAUUUUAAAAAAUCUCAAUUGUGUCAUUGGAAUUUAGAAUAUAAUUUAAAAUUCUUACUAAAUAUUAUCAAAUUUUUUUAUCAUAAUCUUUAUAUUUAUAUAAAGGAGGGUCUUCAUAGGCUGACGUGGCGGCUUCCAGAGCUCUGCUUCUAUUUUUCCUCGAUUUCUAGAAUUUCACUAUCUUUUUUAUCAGUGCUCUGAAAUUAUGAAAUUAAAAUUCUCCGUUGAAAUUGAAAGGUCCACAACUUAAUUACUAAGCUUUAUUACUUCGGUUGGGAAUUCAUAAAAUCGGAAGUCUAAAGUUUUAAGCUCCAGUUCACUCCAAAACUAACAAUGGCAGUGGCACCCGGACCUUCUUGGGAUUUGAAGAAUUCUGACCCUAAAGUUGCGAUUUCGCUAUUUUCUGCUCUUACAAAAAUUACACUAAUCAAGAAAAUCCCAACGGUGCUCUUACCGAUUUUAUUUUUGGAAGUUUUUGAUCGCGCAAGCAAGUCAUGGGGCACCAAUGGCUACGGCUAAUCGGUGUCGACUAGCGGCAGUGUUGGCUCUCCUACAACCGGGAGUGAGGCGAUUGGCAACACUCCCCCAGUGAUAAGACUUCUAUUAGGCUUAAUCAUAUAGAUGCUCAUGCUGAUAAUGUUGCAUCUCAAGCUACUGACAUGUGAGUGCUUAAUUUGUUGUAUUUUUGAGUGUUUUGCUUUUGCAAUUGAGACCGGAUUAUACGGUGAUUUGAUUUUUUUUAUUAGGAUUUGGAGCAAUUUUGUCAUCAUUGGAUGGUAAUUGUUGAAUUUGGAAAAGUGGGUGAUUUUUCUUUUGGGUUUUUGGACUAAUUGCUAGCGUCUGAUCAUAAAUUUUGCUAAUUGUAUGCAUAAAGCUUUUUGCUAUAUUCUGAGCUGUGUUGUGAGGAGACAGUGCAGGGGACUCCGCCAAUCGAGCAUGAAAGGUUUGUGCCUUUGUCAUUCUAUGUUGCGAUAGUAAUUUUCUACAUAUGUUGUUUGAUAUAUAGUUGAUGUUUAACCAAGAGUGCCUGUACUGAUCAAUGGGUGUAUUAUUUUGUAUUGUCGAUAGUUUAUGAGAAAGUGCAAAGCAAGGGAAGAACUACUUAUAACGAGGUCAGUUCAUUUUACAGAUUGCUUCCUUCUUUUACAAUUAUGUUCCAUACUUGUGCCUAAUACAUGACUGAAUCCUAUCAACUGGUCUAUGUUACAACAAUGUUAUAUUUUGGCCUCUAAAGUUCAAGCUGCCUAUCGGAAAAAUUGUUAGUCUCUACUCAAAAAUGAAAUUUGAUUAUAUUGUCAUGUGAUUAUGGUUCUUUAGCUACAAUGGUUGGUUGUUUGGCGUCAAACUUAUUCUUUUUUCCUGAUUGUGUUGGUCAAUUUAGUUUAUUAUUUUUAGGAUUUUGGUUAUUUUUUGUGUUUGCUUUAUAAUAUGAUUUGGGGGUGUGUGAAUAUUAGCUUUCUUGAACGCGAUGUCUGAGGGUUUUGUUCAAUAUGAUCAAAUUGAUUGAAUUGCUUUGUGAUAGGUUGAAUUUUU